UACGUAGGGUGCAAGCGUUGUCCGGAAUUAUUGGGCGUAAAGAGCUCGUAGGCGGUCUGUCGCGUCGGCUGUGAAAACCCGGAGCUCAACUCCGGGCCUGCAGUCGAUACGGGCAAACUGGAGUACUGCAGGGGAGACUGGAAUUCCUGGUGUAGCGGUGAAAUGCGUAGAUAUCAGGAAGAACACCCGUGGCGAAGGCGGCUCUCUGGGACGGUACUGACGCUGAGACGCGAAAGCGUGGGGAGCGAACAGG
rnacentral:rRNA from 1 species